GGUCUCCGUUGGUGAACCAGCGGAGGGAUCAUUACAGAGUUGCAAAACUCCCUAAACCAUUGUGAACGUUACCUUCAAACCGUUGCUUCGGCGGGCGGCCCGGGUCCGCCCGGUGCCCCCUGGCCCCCUAGCGGGGCGCCCGCCGGAGGAAACCCAACUCUUGAUUAUUAUGGCCUCUCUGAGUCUUCUGUACUGAAUAAGUCAAAACUUUCAACAACGGAUCUCUUGGUUCUGGCAUCGAUGAAGAACGCAGCGAAAUGCGAUAAGUAAUGUGAAUUGCAGAAUUCAGUGAAUCAUCGAAUCUUUGAACGCACAUUGCGCCCGCCAGUAUUCUGGCGGGCAUGCCUGUUCGAGCGUCAUUUCAACCAUCAAGCCCCAGGCUUGUGUUGGGGACCUGCGGCUGCCGCAGGCCCUGAAAACCAGUGGCGGGCUCGCUGUCACACCGGGCGUAGUAGAUUUUAUCUCGCUCAGGGCGUGCUGCGGGUUCCGGCCGUUAAAAGCCUUUUUUACCCAAGGUUGACCUCGGAUCAGGUAGGAAUACCCGCUGAACUUAAGCAUAUCAAUAAGCGGAGG
rnacentral:rRNA from 1 species